rnacentral:rRNA from 1 species
AUUGAACGCUGGCGGAAUGCUUUACACAUGCAAGUCGAACGGCAGCACGGACUUCGGUCUGGUGGCGAGUGGCGAACGGGUGAGUAAUGUAUCGGAACGUGCCCAGUCGUGGGGGAUAACGUAGUGAAAAUUACGCUAAUACCGCAUACGAUCUAUGGAUGAAAGCGGGGGAUCGCAAGACCUCGCGCGAUUGGAGCGGCCGAUAUCAGAUUAGGUAGUUGGGGGGGUAAAGGCCCAUCAAACCAACGAUCUGUAGCUGGUCUGAGAGGACGACCAGCCACACUGGAACUGAGACACGGUCCAGACUCCUACGGGAGGCAGCAGUGGGGAAUUUUGGACCAUGGGCGAAAGCCUGAUCCAGCCAUUCCGCGUGCAGGAUGAAGGCCCUCGGGUUGUAAACUGCUUUUGUACAGAACGAAAAGGUUUCUACUAAUACUAGGAGCUCAUGACGGUACCUAGCGAAUAAGCCACGGCUAACUAUGUGCCAGCCGCCGCAGUAA